GGAUUAUCAGCUACCACUGAUGGAGGGGAUUUUGAGGCAUACAGUGAAGAUCCACUAGAAGAACAAGAAAAUGAGAGACUUAAACUCAACGACUCUUUAUCAGAGCUGCAAAACUGGAAAUAUGAGCCGCAAGAAAUGAAAUCAACGGA